GCGGAUUCUCUUACCACUGGUGCCAUCUGGGAAGCCCCGGAGAAAAAGGAAAGUGAAUCUAUUAAGUGAAACACACACAAAUAUGGUGCUUUCUAUACCUGGAGAUUCUGAAGAAUCAGCCAGCAACACUGUCCCAGCUACUGCCGUGGCGCACGUUGUCUGGAGGCGGGACCAGGGACUUCCAGUCUCAUCCUCUGCCUCCUCCCUCUCAGUUCCUCAACCCACUUCCGGCGUCUAGGUAGCGCAUUUCCGGUGCGCUUGGAAUCCAGAGAGAUCCCACGGCUCCGUGUUGACGACGGCGUGUGAGGGGGCCCUAGGGACUUUAAGUGGCCACGGGCUUUUACUGGGACGGCUGCAGUGACGUCCGCAUUCUUCCCGAGGUCUGCUCAGAACGACCAACUGCAUUCACACACAAGCCGUUGUCACCAGCCCUCAUUUUGCUGAACGUUAGAUACCAUCCUGCCAGCGACAGAAGGCUUUGGUGUGACUGGAUUUUACUAAAAAUUUGAAGAUGAGUAAAGGAAGGAUCCGCUUUAACAUCGCCUCACUAAUUAGCUUUCUGCGUUCUUACAGAGGCCAUUAGGCCCUCCCCCGGGCGUCACUCCUAGAGAGGACGGACUUCUGUUAGGUGCUCCGCUACAUUUCGGUCGCUCCAAGCAUCAGGAUGUGGGUCAGCGGGACCACUGGAGGGGAAGGAAUGGACCGCAGGAAGCGGAAGGGAGAAGCAACUCGGAGUGAAGGGAUGUCUAUUUGGGACGCCUCGGAAGCCUUACGGAGCGUUCAUAUAGGACUUUUAAUCCAAAUUCCUGGAGAGGAGUCUUUCUGCUACUAUGUGAAGAAACUUGAGUUGGCCUCCUGGAAGAUAAUGCAGAAGUGAAAGACCCCCAGCUGUUCUAGUACAACUAUCCAGCCAUUCCAGUUGAGACCAUCCUGUGUUACUGAGGUUAUACUAGAAGACCAGACUGGCCAGUUCAAAAGGUUAUGGUAAAUACAGAGAAAUAAUUAUUCAUCAUUGUUUUAAGUAACUAUGUUUUAGGUUGACGGUUAUGCAGCAGAAGUUGACUGAUAACAUACUACCAUUUUGAAAUAAAAAGUGUGUGAUAAAUUGUAAGGAAUG
rnacentral:lncRNA from 1 species